GAGCUCAGUUGGUAGAGCAUAAGACUCUUAAUCUCAAAGUCAUGGGUUCAAGCCCAAUGUUGGGCCA